rnacentral:lncRNA from 10 species
GGCGUGAACCCAGGAGGCGGAGCUUGCAGUGAGCCGAGAUUGUGCCACUGCACUCCAGCCUGGGCAACAGAGCUAGACUCUGUGUCAAAAAUAAAUGACUAGAUAAAAAAAAAAAUUGUUUGAGUACAUUUUCCCUGCAUUUUAGAGAUUAGGACAGUGGUCACUUUCUAGUUGCCGUCUUCACAGACAAACUUGAAAGGUAUUAAGGAAAAAAUUCCACAUAGCUCUGGGCCUUUUUUGUAUUCUGAUUGCCACGUUAAUCUGUAAUCGUUAAGUACCCAUGAAAGAAUGUGUUUCAGUAUCAGUGCUUUUUUGGUACUUUAACAAGUAUUGUAGGCACGGUGGAUUUUUUUGAAAUACCCAUGUGUCCAAUAGCAAGUUAAGGAACCUAGCGCAUCAAAUUUUGUUUUCUUCAUUCAUUUGGAACCUUAUUUUCGCAAAAAACCUAGCUGGAAUAAUAAUGCCAUAUUGUAUUUUGCACACUGCUUUAUUUUCUAGAGGCUCUGGGAGCAAAUUACAUUCAUCACAUUACCUCUGCUCUCUCAAGAUUAAAGUCUUUCAGCAACAUUCUUUAUUGUCAUCAUAAGGAAAAACUUUUAUCGCAAUGAUAGUCAGUUCACAUUAGUUUAGCACUAUAGAUAGUAUUCAGAAAUUGCUUUCUCUUUGGUAAAGAAGAUAAAUAGGUGAAUUUUAUUGCCUGUGUUUUCAGGCUUCAGAGGUACCUGGCACCUUACUCAAGCAAAAACAAAAAACAGCUUUACUUCAAAAGCAUGUGCCUCUGGUAAAUUAUCCAUCACUUUUGUUUUAAAGUGGUCCCUCCAAGAAUAAUGUGGCAUACACAGUGGGUUUGGUUGUAAGGCAGAUGUAAUAGAUGACUUCAAAAGCCUGCUCCUUACUGCACUCUGGACAAGGCCCUGGUCUGUAUAGUUUGGCUUCCUCUGUUAAGUCAUUCUACAAGGUGACUUGCCAUUUGAACUUUCGUAAGAGACCUCAGCAGUUAGACUGAGAAAAGUUAGAGUGCUGUAGUUAUGAAGUCAUACAUUUUUGAUAAAAUACCUGUGGAAAACCAGGGAUCCUCUCCUGUUUCUCUCUCUUGCCUCCCCCUUUCCCUCCAUUCCUCUGUCGCCUCCCCCUCUCCUCCACUUUCUUUAAGAAUCAGGGGGUACAGAAUAACCUACAAACAACCUCUUCAAAGUACCCUUGGAAAUUGAAGUUCAAUCUUAAGUUUUUUGCUGUCUUUAAUUUACUAGAAUUGCCUAAUUUUUAGUUGAUUUCUCUACAGAGCUUAGCUUGUGUAGUUAUUUCUCUUUUACUGUUGCUUUGGUGUGUCUUGAAGUUUGAUUGAUUAUUUUUGGUCAUUGAGUUCUUAGUGUAGUUUGCUAGAUGAUUAUUAAGAUUCUUUUGUGUCUGACACUUGUGGUGAGUUGCUUUUGAAAUCUGUUGAGAUUUCCAUGUGAGAACUGAUAAUCAGGCUCUUGAUCUGCUUCCCUAAAUUACUUUUUUAGAGCCCAAACCCCAGGUUUAGGGUGAGGGUUUGUAAUACAAAGAAACACUUCCAUCACUUCUGCCCUUAACCCUUGCCUCUAUUACCUAAGCUUAGUAAGUAGUUUUCUUAAUAUUGUCCAAUGUUUGGUGUUAUCUGCAUUGUUUUUUGUUUUUUUAAUUGUGGUUGUUCUGACGUGUGAAAUUUAAGGAAAGAGCCAUUUUUUAAAAAUGCCGAGCAGGGCAAUGCAAGUACAGCCAAAUAUUAGACUUGAUGUGCAAUCUUCGGUCCUUUUUAAUCUGGGGUAUUAUAGGCAGUACUUUAAAUUGCAAAGUCUUCCGGGCCUAUUUUCCUCUACAUUUUUGUAAUUAACUCUGGGGGCUUACUUGUUUUGGCAGUACUGAAAUCAAAGGAGCUGGUUCUUCUUUUCUCCCAAUUAUUUUCAUAUGAAAGCACCUACAAUUAGCCUGUUAGUCCUAUUCAGAUACAUCAAAUAUCAGUGAAUGCUUUACUAUUCGCACAUUUAAGCAUCUUUGUUUUACAUAAAAUUAGAGUAUGAAAACCAGUGUUCAAUUUUUUAUCUUGUUGAGCUUGUAAAAUGCCAGCAAUUUAAAACUAGGACUUUUCCCCCCAUAAGCCAAGGAGGUAGAAUUACUAAUACAAGGGUUAAAGAAGGUAGAUUUUGUUUUCAAUAUUUGGGUAAUAUUAGAAAGAUUCUUCCCACAGGGAAGAACUAGCAAGUGUCCCAAUUUUUUCCAAACGUUGGGGAGGGGAAAAUUCACUGUAUCAUGAAACCCUAAGGGUUUGUUGCACUUCCUGCUUUUUAGGCCUGGAUAACAGUAUCACCAUCCUUAUUUACAGAAGGGUAAAACUGACUCUUAAUGAGAAAAGCUUUAUAAGUUCAAGGGCUGUAAAAUAUGAACUACUUAGGGUCGUUUGCCUUCCAUGGGAACUUGGCUAGACUUAGAAAAAGCUGUUUGUUGUGCUAAUGUAAAAGUGUCAUACAAUUUAGAAGAUUUUUGAAGAUGGUAAACUUAGAAGAAUUCUAUGUUCUGAAAUGCACACUUUUAGAAUGUUUUUCUUUGAAAACAGGCUAAUAGUUUUUUCUUUUUUUGACAAAGUUUCAGCUCCUCUUUAAAGUUAUUGUGUCAUUUUUCUGGUUUAAAUUUCCCUUAUAUUUCCACCUGUAAUGUCAGUGGCAACAACAUCAUACUUCACUUACUUGUUAAUUUACUUUUUACCCUUAUUCUAAGAGCAAGUUGAGUUGAACUGAAUCUUCCUUGUCUUAGUAACAAUGUAUAAAUAGUGGCUUUUCUGUACAAAAGGUUGUAAUGCCUCCUGAUGGAUAUAAUUUUGUGAUUGUAUUUAAAAGUUGAAUAAAUCACACCAGCUUCCUGAAAAUGUUCAUAAUGCAUCUUUUGGAAAACAAAUACAUGCCUACUUUGUGCAUAUUUGCAUUAACAUGGCAAAGAUUGUAUGAAAUACCUGUUUUUCAGAAAAUAAAGGUUCAGUCUCAAAAGAUACAGCA